GAGGAAAGUCCGGGCUCCACAGGGCAGGAUGACGGAUAACGUCCGCCCGGGGUGACCCGCGGGAAAGCGCAACAGAGAACAGACCGCUGAGAAGAGCAGCCAGGCUGCGCGGAUCAGUAAGGGUGAAACGGCAGUGUAAGAGACUACCGCGUCUUUGGUAACAAAGACGGCAUGGCAAGCCCCAUCCGGAGCAAGAUCAAGCAGGAAACCAAAGGUUUGCCCGACCUGUUUCCAGGUAGAUCGCUCGAGCCGUGUGGUAACAUACGGCCUAGACAGAUCAUCAUCAUCACUAUGUGAUACAUAACCCGGCUUACAGGCUCGCUC
rnacentral:RNase_P_RNA from 1 species